AUUGAACGCUGGCGGCAGGCCUAACACAUGCAAGUCGCACGAGUGGCGGACGGGUGAGUAAUGUCUGGGAAACUGCACGAUGGUGGGGGAUCACUACUGGAAACGGUAGCUAAUACCGCAUACUAUUGGAUGUGCCCAUCUGGGAUUCGCUAGUAGGUGGGGUAAAGGCUCACCAAGGCGACGAUCCAUAGCUGGUCUGAGAGGAUGACCAGCCACACUGGGACUGAGACACGGCGCAGAUUCCUACGGUAGGCAGCAGUGGGGAAUAGUGCACAAUGGGCGCAAGCCUGAUGCAGCCAUGCCGCGUGUAUGAAGAAGGCCUUUGGGUUGUAAAGUACUUUCGGCGGGGAGGCGUUACUCGCAGAAGAAGCACCGGCUAACUACGUGCCAGCCGCAGCGGUAAUAC
rnacentral:rRNA from 1 species